rnacentral:lncRNA from 1 species
CACCUCCUCCUUCCUUCCCCAACCCAGUCAGCCCUGCGACAUCCUCAGGAAUUAGAACCCUCUCAGGAUAAGCCUAAGUGCCUCUGAGGCCAGGGCUGAGGGAGCCAGCUAUCAAAACCAUGGGACAAAUGGAUCUGAGGAGGAAUCGAAGGAUGGACAGCUGAAGGGAGAGGCUUGCUCCAACAACAGGGCGGCCACGGCAGCUGCUGCGCGCCCUGACGCCGCCUAGAAACCGGAGGAGGGCCUAGCCAAGCCCAGAGAAC